rnacentral:rRNA from 1 species
UACGUAGGGUGCAAGCGUUUGUCCGGAAUUAUUGGGCGUAAAGAGCUCGUAGGCGGUCUGUCGCGUCUGCUGUGAAAACUCAGGGCUUAACCCUGAGCUUGCAGUGGGUACGGGCAGACUAGAGUGCGGUAGGGGGAGACUGGAAUUCCUGGUGUAGCGGUGAAAUGCGUAGAUAUCAGGAGGAACACCUGUGGUGUAGACGGCUUACUGGACUAAUAACUGGACGCUGAGGAACGAAAGCAUGGGGAGCGAACAGG